AGAGUUUGAUCCUGGCUCAGAUUGAACGCUGGCGGCAUGCCUUACACAUGCAAGUCGAACGGAUUGAGGGGCUUGCUCCUCAGUUAGUGGCGAACGGGUGAGUAAUGCAUCGGAACGUGCCCAGUCGUGGGGGAUAACUACUCGAAAGAGUAGCUAAUACCGCAUACGCCCUGAGGGGGAAAGCGGGGGACUCGCAAGAGCCUCGCGCGAUUGGAGCGGCCGAUGUCAGAUUAGCUAGUUGGUAGGGUAAAAGCCUACCAAGGCGACGAUCUGUAGCUGGUCUGAGAGGACGACCAGCCACACUGGGACUGAGACACGGCCCAGACUCCUACGGGAGGCAGCAGUGGGGAAUUUUGGACAAUGGGCGAAAGCCUGAUCCAGCCAUGCCGCGUGAGUGAAGAAGGCCUUCGGGUUGUAAAGCUCUUUCGGACAGAAAGAAAUCGCAUGAACUAAUACUUUGUGCGGAUGACGGUACUGUAAGAAGAAGCACCGGCUAACUACGUGCCAGCAGCCGCGGUAAUACGUAGGGUGCGAGCGUUAAUCGGAAUUACUGGGCGUAAAGGGUGCGCAGGCGGUUAUAUAAGACAGAUGUGAAAUCCCCGGGCUCAACCUGGGAACUGCGUUUGUGACUGUAUGACUAGAGUACGGUAGAGAGGGGUGGAAUUCCUGGNUGUAGCAGUGAAAUGCGUANAUAUCAGGAGGAACAUCGAUGGCGAAGG
rnacentral:rRNA from 1 species